CACAAAAGUAACCCCAAAAAAAAGCCCUCUCCUCCUCCGCUCCCCCUCCUCUGUCAUGUCGCCUCGGCAUCGUCUCGUCUCGGAGCUCCACCACUACGGGGUGACUGCGCAAUGGCGAAGUGGUGUGUGAGAUAUGUGGUAGUGGUAGCAACCCUUGUCUUAUUGUAAAAUGAGCUCAAUGCAAUUGCUAUCAGCACCGUUAUUGCAGGCAGGUGGUGGCAUUUGCAAUCACAUGAAUGGCAUUGUUAUGAAUGCCAAGAAAAGGCUAAUGAGGACCCAAAAUGUAAUC